UACGGAGGGAGCUAGCGUUAUUCGGAAUUACUGGGGCGUAAAGCGCACGUAGGCGGCUUUGUAAGUAAGAGGUGAAAGCCUGGAGCUCAACUCCAGAAUUGCCUUUUAGACUGCAUCGCUUGAAUCAUGGAGAGGUGAGUGGAAUUCCGAGUGUAGAGGUGAAAUCGUUAGAUAUUCGGAAGAACACCAGUGGCGAAGGCGGCUCACUGGACAUGUAUUGAC
rnacentral:rRNA from 1 species